GAUGAACGCUAGCGGCAGGCCUAAUACAUGCAAGUCGAGGGAGAAUGUUGGAUUCGUCUGACAUGAAACCGGCGCACGGGUGCGUAACACGUAUGCAACCUACCUUUAACUGGGGUAUAGCUCAGAGAAAUCUGAAUUAAUCCCUCAUAAGACUACGACAUGGCAUCAUGAUGUAGUUAAAGCUCCGGCGGUUAAGGAUGGGCAUGCGGUACAUUAGCUAGUUGGUGAGGUAAUGGCUCACCAAGGCUACGAUGUAUAGGGGGUCUGAGAGGAUGAUCCCCCACACUGGUACUGAGACAUGGACCAGACUCCUACGGGAGGCAGCAGUAGGGAAUAUUGGUCAAUGGACGCGAGUCUGAACCAGCCAUGCCGCGUGAAGGAUGAAGGCCCUAUGGGUCGUAAACUUCUUUUAUUAGGGAAGAAAAAACGGGAUGCGUCCUGUACUGACGGUACUUAAUGAAUAAGGAUCGGCUAACUUCGUGCCAGCAGCCGCAGUAA
rnacentral:rRNA from 1 species